rnacentral:rRNA from 1 species
AUUGAACGCUGGCGGCAAGCCUAACACAUGCAAGUCGAGCGAGCGGCGGACGGGUGAGUAAUGUAUGGGGACUGCACGAUAGAGGGGGAUAACUACUGGAACAGGUGGCUAAUACCGCAUACUCUCGGAUAACCCAUAUGGGAGUAGCUAGUAGUUGGGGUAAAGGCUCACCUAGGCGACGAUCUCUAGCUGGGCUGAGAGGAUGAGCGGCGCCCCGUGGACUGAUACACGGCCGAGACUCCGACGGAGGCAUCAGUGGCGAAUAUUGCACAGUGGGCGCAAGCCUGAUGCAGCCAUUCCGCGUGUAUGAAGAAGGCCUUGAGGUUGUAAAGUACUUUCAGCGGGGAGGCGUUACCCGCAGAAGAAGCACCGGCUAACUCCGUGCCAGCAGCCGCGGUAAUAC